rnacentral:lncRNA from 1 species
AUCAUAGCCUAAGGAAAAAUCACCCCCGUUUUUUACCAGCUGGUUUUUGAUCCUGAAGAAAUUGAAUCUGCUACCAGCAUCCUGGGUCCUGGGGCUGGGCCUGGGGUGAUGAACCAUCUGGGUCAGAGACCAGAGUUGCUGCGGCUAGGAUCAGCUGGGCCAGACUUGAGUUCUGUGAGGGUAAAAGCUAUACCUUCCUACUUCUUUUGAAUUCCUUCACAGAAUGAGUCUUCCAAACACCCAGCUAGCUCUGGAAAUGUGUACAUCAACCUCAUUAGAUAUGUGGACAUCCCUGGAAAGUAUAUGCCAAGAUUCCCUUAUGAAAGAAAACAUGAUUCUAAGAAGAAACAAACCAGUGGACUUAUAGAUGCAGAGCUGAAGCUCAUGAAACCACAAUUCAAAAAAGGCUACAAUAUGAUCUAUGACAAUUAUUUUACAUCCCAUGAUUUUUAUUAAUAUUUUCAAAACAAAGCUACAGUAUAGUUGGAACUAUUCACCAUAAAUAUAGGGAACUUACAGAAAUAAAAAAGACAUGAAAGCUAUAGCA